rnacentral:rRNA from 1 species
GACGAACGCUGGCGGCGUGCUUAACACAUGCAAGUCGAACGGAAAGGCCCUGCUUUUGUGGGGUGCUCGAGUGGCGAACGGGUGAGUAACACGUGAGUAACCUGCCCUUGACUUUGGGAUAACUUCAGGAAACUGGGGCUAAUACCGGAUAGGAGCUCCUGCUGCAUGGUGGGGGUUGGAAAGUUUCGGCGGUUGGGGAUGGACUCGCGGCUUAUCAGCUUGUUGGUGGGGUAGUGGCUUACCAAGGCUUUGACGGGUAGCCGGCCUGAGAGGGUGACCGGCCACAUUGGGCCUGAGAGACGGCCCAGACUCCUACGGUAGGCAGCAGUGGGGAAUAUUGCACAAUGGGCGGAAGCCUGAUGCAGCAACGCCGCGUGCGGGAUGACGGCCUUCGGGUGGUAAACCGCUUUCGCCUGUGACGAAGCGUGAGUGACGGUAAUGGGUAAAGAAGCACCGGCUAACUACGUG